rnacentral:rRNA from 1 species
CCUACGGGCGGCAGCAGUGAGGAAUAUUGGUCAAUGGGCUUACGCCUGAACCAGCCAAGUCGCGUGAGGGAAGACUGCUCUAUGGGUUGUAAACCUCUUUUGUCAGGGAGCAACGCCGGCUACGUGUAGCCGGACUGAGAGUACUUGAAGAAAAAGCAUCGGCUAGCGCCGUGCCAGCAGCCGCGGUAAUACGGAGGAUGGGAGCGUUAUCCGGAUUUAUUGGGUUUAAAGGGUGCGUAGGCGGAAUGCCAAGUCACGGGUAAAAGCGCGGGGCCCAACCACGCUCCGCCGUUGAAACUGGCGGUCUUGAGUUGGAGAGAAGUAUGCGGAAUGCGUGGUGUAGCGGUGAAAUGCAUAGAUAUCGCGCAGAACUCCGAUUGCGAAGGCAGCAUGCCGGCGCCACACUGACGCUGAGGCACGAAAGCGUGGGUAUCGAACAGGAUUAGAUACCCCUGUAGUC